rnacentral:rRNA from 1 species
AUUGAACGCUGGCGGCAGGCUUAACACAUGCAAGUCGAGCGGGGGAAGGUAGCUUGCUACCGGACCUAGCGGCGGACGGGUGAGUAAUGCUUAGGAAUCUGCCUAUUAGUGGGGGACAACAUCUCGAGAGGGAUGCUAAUACCGCAUACGUCCUACGGGAGAAAGCAGGGGAUCUUCGGACCUCGCGCUAAUAGAUGAGCCUAAGUCGGAUUAGCUAGUUGGUGGGGUAAAGGCCUACCAAGGCGACGAUCUGUAGCGGGUCUGAGAGGAUGAUCCGCCACACUGGGACUGAGACACGGCCCAGACUCCUACGGGAGGCAGCAGUGGGGAAUAUUGGACAAUGGGGGGAACCCUGAUCCAGCUAUGCCGCGUGUGUGAAGAAGGCCUUAUGGUUGUAAAGCACUUUAAGCGAGGAGGAGGCUACUUUAGUUAAUACCUAGAGAUAGUGGACGUUACUCGCUGAAUAAGCACCGGCUAACUCUGUGCCAGCCGCCGCCGUAA